UACGUAGGGCGCAAGCGUUGUCCGGAAUUAUUGGGCGUAAAGAGCUCGUAGGCGGUUUGUCGCGUCUGCUGUGAAAACCUAAGGCUCAACCUUGGGCUUGCAGUGGGUACGGGCAGACUAGAGUGCGGUAGGGGUGACUGGAAUUCCUGGUGUAGCGGUGGAAUGCGCAGAUAUCAGGAGGAACACCGAUGGCGAAGGCAGGUCACUGGGCCGCAAACUGACGC
rnacentral:rRNA from 1 species